UCUCCGCGCAGAGCAGGAAGAUGGAAAUUUUGGGGUUGCAAUGAAACGUUACCAUUUGUCUGCUACAGCAUACCUGUAAAGAAGCAGGUAGUGAAGCUGAGGAUCAAACUGGACGACUCCUCUGUGGAUCCCAACGACCCUGCUGUGAAAGCAGAGCUCCUGAAAAAGCUCCAGGACAGACUGAAGGAGAAAGGAGUGAGUGGAGUCACCCUGAAGUGGAGAGAGCAGCCUGAUGGGAAAGUCUGGCACAGAGAGGUUCCACAAGGAACUACACCUGCAUGUUAGCUGAACUCUUCAGAUACAUGUGUGUUGAUGAAAGUGUGGCAUCACUAUAUUAUGUUUGAAAC